rnacentral:rRNA from 1 species
UACGUAGGGGGCAAGCGUUGUCCGGAAUCAUUGGGCGUAAAGGGCGCGCAGGUGGCUCUGUAUGUCUGCCGUGAAAGCAUACAGCUCAACUGUAUUGUGUCGGUAGAAACUGCAGGACUUGAGGCUGGGGAGGGGCUGGUGGAAUUCCCUGUGUAGCGGUGAAAUGCGUAGAGAUGGGGGGAGAACACUCGUGGCGAAGGCGGCCAGCUAGACCAGUUCUGACACUGAGGCGCGACAGCGUGGGGGAGCAAACAGG